UAAAAUUUCAGUAACCUCUAACACACAGUUUAUUGUUUAUACUAAUAUACUGUAAAUCUGAUUGUUAAUGAAUAAGUUUACUUUGAAAAAAAUCAUCUGUUGAAGUGCAAGUCAUAAGAAAAUCAAGAGAGAUUGUUUGAAGAAGUGCCGCAAUGACUGAAGGAAUUGGGAUGCGAACCCUGGUAACCGAUAAGGGCCCCCCCCUGUUUACGACGAGAGUGUCUUUUUACUUGGUUUGCUUAUGACUAGCUAUCCUCCUUCGUAAAGAUGGCAGGUGUCGGAGAAGAGAUGUCAACGAGGGUAUUUGCAGUGGAGAUCGGUUCCCAUUACUUGGCAGCAAGCCAAAUGGAAGCGGUAAAGUUGGUAGUCCUGCCACGGGUAAAGGUUUCGUCAAACUGACGCAGUGGAACUGUUUGUACAGCUAAGAAACGUGGGUCUAGCGCACAGAAUGAAGUUUAACGAAGUAACGCAGAAUUUACACUCUUCCCUGAAGUACCACGAUUUCAAUUAAAUUGUCACAAUUGUAGUAUGAAUGUUCUGCAAGUCAGUGAUCAUUUCUCUGUAUUGAACGUCGAAUUGAACGCAGCUGACAUAACCUACUUCAACGGAUUAAUAUGAAGGGUAGCAAAAUGACAGAGCCCUAUCGUGCCUGAUAAAUAAAUCGGAAACUAAAUAUACCGCAGCAAGUUGUUUUAUUAUAAACCGUCGAUACUAAGUUUAUUUCCAUCAAAGACCUGGUUGCAGUGGUAAGGUGCCGAGGAGUCAAACAGGUGUAAUAGUGUUGGUCUAUCUACGGGGGGAUUUUAUCGAAGCACCGACGAGGAAAGUCCUAAUUGACUACCGCAAUGGGAGAAAUGUAAACUUUCAAAUUGGACCAACAUCAGCACUAGAGGGUAGGGACCGAUUUUGCUCAAUAGAAUUAUGCCGAAGGAGGUUUUAUACGUAAUGUCCCACCUUUUACUAAUUGGGGCAAAUACAAAACAAAACUGGCAUGUCUACAAAGAGGCUUUUUGCUGUUGGACCACAUGCACAUAUGCCGUGAGAUGUGGGCCUCCCUUUAUACAAAGAGCACCUCGAUCUAAAGUUCUUGAAAUCCACACGCAGACACAAAGGAGUACCUUGAAAUAGCACAGUUCAAUGUCUACGAGUCUACACAAACUUGUUAGUAAUAUGAUGGUAUCGGAAGGUUUAAUUUAGCCACAGAAGAAGUUGUAUGUGAUUUAGCCUAAAACUAGGUUGGAGAGCUAUAGAAAACACCAGUUCUUUUUAUAUUUCAUUUAUUAAGGGCUGCCCCCCCCCCCCCUUGAAUUAUUU